rnacentral:tRNA from 1 species
GCUGGUGUAGUUUAACGGUAAAACGGGUGGCUUAUAAUCGCUUGAUGCCGGGUUCAACCCCCACCGCCAGUACCA